rnacentral:lncRNA from 1 species
GGUGAUGGCUGACUGCGAGUCUAGCAUACAAUCAGUACCAACAUACACACCGAUAUCAACAUUUUACGGUGACAUCUACAAUCCUCUUGUUGAUCAGCCCGGCAUAUUCCUGGGAUGUUUUAACAACGGUAUUAAGAUUGCCAUCCAAAAAUGUAAUGGUGUUCCGGAAAUCGUCCAUAUUGAGAAUGGAACUUUUGCCAGUAACCCAAAGAAUUAUUAUUUGAUUGUUUAAAUCCGAAUGUUAGUAAUUUGUAAUUGUUCAUUUUUGCAACAGUGUAUAUUUA